rnacentral:rRNA from 1 species
GAGUUUGAUCCUGGCUCAGGAUGAACGCUAGCGGCAGGCCUAACGCAUGCAAGUCGAGGGGUAACAGAAAAGCUUGCUUUUGCUGACGACCGGCGCACGGGUGCGUAACGCGUAUGCAACCUACCUCAUACUGGAGGAUAGCCCCUGGAAACGGGGAUUAAUACUCCAUAGUAUCACAAUUUCGCAUGUUAUUGUGAUUAAAGUUUUUCGGUAUGAGAUGGGCAUGCGUCCCAUUAGCUUGUUGGUGAGGUAACGGCUCACCAAGGCAACGAUGGGUAGGGGGCCUGAGAGGGUGGUCCCCCACACUGGUACUGAGACACGGACCAGACUCCUACGGGAGGCAGCAGUGAGGAAUAUUGGUCAAUGGAGGAAACUCUGAACCAGCCAUGCCGCGUGAAGGAUGACGGCCCUAUGGGUUGUAAACUUCUUUUAUAGAGGAAGAAACUUGUCUACGUGUAGACAACUGACGGUACUCUACGAAUAAGGAUCGGCUAACUCCGUGCCAGCAGCCGCGGUAAUACGGAGGAUCCAAGCGUUAUCCGGAUUCAUUGGGUUUAAAGGGUCCGUAGGCGGAUUUUUAAGUCAGUGGUGAAAGCCGACAGCUCAACUGUCGAACUGCCAUUGAUACUGGAAAUCUUGAGUACAAAUGAAGUAGGCGGAAUGAGUCAUGUAGCGGUGAAAUGCAUAGAUAUGACAUGGAACACCAAUUGCGAAGGCAGCUCACUAAACCAUUACUGACGCUCAUGGACGAAAGCGUGGGGAGCGAACAGGAUUAGAUACCCUGGUAGUCCACGCCGUAAACGAUGAUCACUAGAUGUUGGCGAUAUAAUGUCAGCGUUCAAGAGAAAUCGAUAAGUGAUCCACCUGGGGAGUACGUUCGCAAGAAUGAAACUCAAAGGAAUUGACGGGGGCCCGCACAAGCGGUGGAGCAUGUGGUUUAAUUCGAUGAUACGCGAGGAACCUUACCAGGGCUUAAAUGUAGUUUGACCGGCUUGGAAACAGGCCUUCUCUUCGGAGCAGAUUACAAGGUGCUGCAU